AUUGUUAAGACAAAGGGUGUGCACUUCCCGGCCAGGAAACCUGAGCGGUGAGACUCCCAGCUGCCUACAUCAAGGCCCCAGGACAUGCAGAACCUUCCUCUAGAACCCGACCCACCACCAUGAGGUCCUGCCUGUGGAGAUGCAGGCACCUGAGCCAAGGCGUCCAGUGGUCCUUGCUUCUGGCUGUCCUGGUCUUCUUUCUCUUCGCCUUGCCCUCUUUUAUUAAGGAGCCUCAAACAAAGCCUUCCAGGUUCCCCUUGGUGAUGUACACUGAAGAAUAUAGAAGGCAGCUGGGCCUGGGGGCACAUGCACCUGUAGUCCCAGCUACUCAGGAGGCCAAGGCAGGAGACUCGUUUGAGCCCGGGAGGUCGAGGCUGCAAUGAGCUGUGAACGUGCCACCAGCCUAGACAACAGAGACUCAGUCUCAAAAAAAAAAGAAAAUAUAUAUAUACAGAGAGGGAGGAUGUUGCCA
rnacentral:sRNA from 1 species